rnacentral:rRNA from 1 species
GAUGAACGCUAGCGGCAGGCCUAACACAUGCAAGUCGAGGGGUAGCAGGAUUAAGCUUGCUUAAUUGCUGACGACCGGCGCACGGGUGCGUAACGCGUAUGCAACCUACCUUAUACUGGGGUAUAGCCCGGAGAAAUUCGGAUUAAUCCCCCAUAGUACUAAUGAAUCGCAUGGUUUAUUAGUUAAAGCAUUGAGGUAUAAGAUGGGAAUGCGUCCUAUUAGCUAGAUGGGGAGGUAACGGCUCACCAUGGCUACGAUAGGUAGGGGGCCUGAGAGGGUGUGCCCCCACCCUGGUACUGGGACACGGACCAGACUCCUGCGGGGGGUAGCAGUGAGGAAUAUUGGUCAAGGUGCGCAAGCCUGAACCGGCCAUGCCGCGUGCAGGAGGAAUGCCCUAUGGGUUGUAAACUGCUUUUAUUUGGGAAUAAACCUCUUUACGUGUAGGGAGCUGAAGGUACCAAAUGAAUAAGCACCGGCUAACUCCGUGCCAGCAGCCGCCGUAA